rnacentral:rRNA from 1 species
UACAGAGACUGCAAGCGUUGUUCGGAUUCACUGGGCGUAAAGGGUGCGUAGGCGGUCGGGUAAGUCUGAUGUGAAAUCUCACAGCUUAACUGUGAAACUGCAUUGGAUACUAUCCGGCUAGAGGAAUGGAGGGGAGACUGGAAUUCCACGUGUAGCGGUGAAAUGCGUAGAGAUGUGGAGGAACACCAGUGGCGAAGGCGACUCUCUGGUCUGUAACUGACGCUGAGGAGCGAAAGCGUGGGGAGCGAACAGG